rnacentral:rRNA from 1 species
AUGCACGCUGGCGGCGUGCCUCAUCCAUGCAAGUCGAGCGAACAGAUAAGGAGCUUGCUCCUUUGAAGUUAGCGGCGGACGGGUGAGUAACACGUGGGUAACCUACCUAUAAGACUGGGAUAACUUCGGGAAACCGGAGCUAAUACCGGAUAACAUUUAGAACCGCAUGGUUCUAAAGUGAAAGAUGGUUUUGCUAUCACUUAUAGAUGGACCCGCGCCGUAUUAGCUAGUUGGUAAGGUAACGGCUUACCAAGGCGACGAUACGUAGCCGACCUGAGAGGGUGAUCGGCCACACUGGAACUGAGACACGGUCCAGACUCCUACGGGAGGCAGCAGUAGGGAAUCUUCCGCAAUGGGCGAAAGCCUGACGGAGCAACGCCGCGUGAGUGAUGAAGGGUUUCGGCUCGUAAAACUCUGUUAUUAGGGAAGAACAAAUGUGUAAGUAACUGUGCACAUCUUGUCGGUACCUAAUCAGAAAGCCACGGCUAACUACGUG